rnacentral:piRNA from 1 species
UGGCAAGCAGCAACAUAAGGUUUACUGGUU